CCUUGAUAAUCCGACAGGUAUGGGACCAAAGGGGUGUAGGAUUACCAAAAGUGUCCAGAUUACCGAAAGUGAUUAUAUAUAUUUGGCAUUGUUUUGCUAGCAGUAGCCUACAAUAUUCUUAAAUUUAAUGAGUAAAAUGCUACCCAGAUUAAUAUGCAACUGAGAGAUCCAUUUCGGCUUGUUAUUUCGGUUUAUUAAAAGAAAUAUGGAAGCUAAUACAAUUUAAUUCAUGUUGCGACAGGUUUCAGUACAGACAAACACAGCAGCAACAUCGAUGGGAGGUGCGUCACUUAGAUCUACAGACCGGGCGCGUCUCGUAAAUUGCACGAAUUCGCGCAAUUGUACUUGAGACACUGUGUCAGGUAAAAGAUGAAUCGUUGUACUAAGUAUUUAGUUUCUUUCGAAGAAUUAAAGGCUGUACAAAAAAUUGUAGUCCCGAUAAAACCCACCAUAGAUGCUAUAAGAAAUCAAAAAGAUAUCAAUUUGGGUUUUCCAUCCACAUCCAGAAUACCCUCCAAUAAAAAAAUUAUCCCUCAGAGGAAAUUUUUUCCAACGAAAAAAA
rnacentral:lncRNA from 1 species